GUUAUAUGGUCAAGCGAAUAAGCGCACACGGUGGAUGCCUUGGCGGUCAGAGGCGAUGAAGGACGUGGCAGCCUGCGAAAAGUAUCGGGGAGCUGGCAACAAGCUUUGAUCCGGUAAUGUCCGAAUGGGGAAACCCACCCGCUUGCGGGUAUCCUGCAGUGAAUACAUAGCUGCUGGAAGCGAACCUGGUGAACUGAAAUAUCUAAGUAACCAGAGGAAAAGAAAUCAACCGAGAUUCCGUAAGUAGCGACGAGCGAACGCGGACUAGCCCUUAAGCUGGAUUGGUUCUAGGAAAACGCUCUGGAAAGAGCGGCCAUAGAAGGUGAUAGCCCUGUAUCUGAAAGGGCCAUUCCAGUGAAGACGAGUAGGGCGGGGCACGUGAAACCCUGUCUGAACAUGGGGGGACCAUCCUCCAAGGCUAAAUACUACUGACCGACCGAUAGUGAACCAGUACCGUG
rnacentral:rRNA from 1 species